rnacentral:lncRNA from 1 species
UUUUUUUUUUUUUUUUCAAGUGUUCCCAAAAAAAUGUUAUUGCAAUUUUUGUAGGAAUUGUAUUGAUUCUGUAGAUAUCUUUUGGUAAUAUACCCAAUUUCACAGAAGUAAUGCUGCCAAGCCAUUAGCACUUAUGAUCUUUAGAUCACCCAAUAUGUUCUAGUUGUUUCCUCUUGCUGUGAUAAAACACUGUGGCCAAAAGAAGCUUGGGAAGGAAAGGAUGUAUUGCCUUACAUAUUAUAGUCUGUGCUGAAGGGAAAUGAAGGCAGGAACUCAAGCAGGAACCUAAAGGCAGGAACUCAAGCAGAGAGGAAUGCUGCUUACUGGCUUGUUACACAUGGCUUGCUUAGGCCACUUUCUUAUACAAUGCAGGACCACCUGCCCAGGAGGAAUUAUGGUCACAGUGAUCUAAGACACUUCCAUACCAAUCACUAAUCAAAAAAAUGCUCUACAGGCUUACUGAACAAGCCAAUCUAACGGAGGCAUUUUCUCAGUUGAAGUUUCCUCUUCUCAGAUAACUCUGGCAUAUGUGACAAAAACUAAGCAGCCCACAGUGUCAUCAUCAGCUUUUUUUCUCAGUGUCUUAAAGAGUUUGUUGUGUAUGUCAUCUAUGGCCUUUGUUAUAUUCAUUCUUAUGAUUUGUUUUUAAACUGUUACAAAUCUGAUUUUUAUUUUUCUGGUUAAGAGUUUUGGAGACGCAUAUGUACAGAAGCUACAGUUUUACAUGUUGUCUUUUUGCUUUAACCCUGCUGUUUUGACAAAAGCAUUUAUCACAUCUCAGGGUCUUCUAGUUGAGUCAGUAGAGACUUAUGCCAUAUGCAUGUAGAGAUAAUUUGAUGUCUUCCUUUGCUUUGUGUGCCCCUUUUACUUCUUCCUCUUGCCAUAGAGCCCCUAAUAAGAGAUGUUAGGGCUCUUGUGAAUAACAGAGAGUGAGUGCCCUUGCUUCCUUCUCCAAGCUAGAAGAAAUUCUAUAUAAUGCUGGCAGUAGGUGUGUCAUACGGGUCUGUUCCUUCUAAUCUUGGUAUUCUAGGGCUUUUAUAAUGAAGGAAUUGAAUUCUGUCAAAGCUCUUUUUGAAAUCUGUUGAGAUGAUCAUGUAACUUCUGUUCUUAAUUCUAUUUAGGUGUAAUAUUAUAUUUAUUGAUUUGCCUGUAUUGACCCGACUUUGUGUCCCUGGAAUAAAGCCUACUUGGAUAAUGAACAUUUUGAAGUGUUCUUAAAUUCAGUUUUGUAAGUAAUUAGUAAGUGUGUUGUGAUUUGAUAAAUGCUGUGUAUCAGUCCAUUUUCUGUUACUUAAGAUACCCAAUACCAUGUGUUUUUAUAACAAAAGGGGUUUUCUUUAAUACAUAGUAUUAGAAGUAUCAAGUCCAAACAAGUCUUGCUAAACUGAUGAGGGCCCAGUUGAUUGUGAUGCAUCAUAGUGAUAACACUAAUGGUGGCUUGGAGUUGCUGUAAAGGUAGUGAUCACGUGGCAAGAUAGGUAGCCAAAGUGUAGGCACGUUGUCAGUCUUUUUCUCUUUGUAACAGUUCAUUCUUCUAAGAGCUAACUUGGAUUCCAUGAGAGCAUCAUCACAUCCCCUUGAAAGCACUGGAUUUGCACCAGGAUUAAAGGUCUACACAAUCUGCCAGUGCCACCUCUGAGAGUUCCAGGAAUCCAACACAGGAAGCGCUAGGAGAUAUACUGUGUCUAAGCCACAAUGGUCUGUUAUGAAGAUAGUCAAAUAUAGGAAGUGUUGUAUAAGUCUGACUCAUCCCCUGCCCCCAUACAGACUGUAAGGCAAUUAAUUUAGGCUACUAUGCAUUUUUAUUUAACUUUACUAUUAAUAAUAGAAACCAAUUGGAGUUAUAAUUUUUAAAAUAAGGUUUAUUAAACAAAUAAAAAACAACAAUAACAGCUAGAGGGUAGUGAAGGACAAUAAGGGACAAAUUCUUGUAACUGCCUGAGUGGUUCACUCUCUUAGUCCUAAUAACCACUGAAGGAACACUGAGAAGUUGCAUACUCCUGUGUUUCAAUGUUUUUAACUGAAUAGUCAUGUGUAAAGUGCUCACAAAAGGGCCUGGUACACAGUACCUGUGUCCUGAUAUUAGAGCUAGGACUGGGGAGCCAAUAGGACCCCAAUCAUUUUACUUUGUCUCUUAAUUGUACCUCUCUCUGACUAAUUCAUUCUUUGCCCCUUUUUCCUGUAAAUCAGAUGAAUUGGGAAAGUCAAAUGGGAGUAGGGGAGAAACAAAGUGCAAAAUGCCUUGUCUGGUAGUCUAAGGUGUUCAAAUUUACUGGUAGAAUAGAAAGAGCAAAAUGUUAUUUGAAAUACCAAAUAACAUGCUCAUUUGAAGUUUUUACACUGUUUAAGAAAGAUCAUAUAAGACGAAGAAGAAUGAUAAAUGAGGCUGAUUUACUGGUUUAUACUGUAAAUGUCUAAUAUACAUAAUAUCUGUGUAUGUGUUUUUCUUUCUUUGUAAUCCACCUUAAUGAAUGGGAAAAAGAAAUAUGACAAUGAUGGAUAUAUGGAUGGAGUGUAGAUAGGCAGAUAGAUAGAUAGAUAGAUAGAUAGACAGACAGACAGACAGACAGACAGAUAGAUAGAUAGAUAGAUAGAUACAUAUAUACAUACAUACAUAGCCAGAGAGAUGGCAUGCUGCAGAUUGGGUAAUCUUUUAAUCAAAAACAUGCUAAUUUUCUAGAACAUUCAUGACAAAAUACCACAGGCUGAGUGGGUUAAAUAAAUUGAUUUUCCUACAGUUUUGAAAUGUUUUAGAGUUGCAAGCCAAAUUUCACCUGAGGCUCCUUUUCUAGACUUUCAGGUGACACCUGCAUCUUAUCUCCUCAAGCAAUCUUCAUUCUGAGAACACAUCUAUGUUGCCUUUCCAUGUGUUUAACUUUGCUUCUAAUGAUAGCAGUCAACUUGUGCUGGCCUCAUUCUAAGUCAAUGACCUCUUUAAAGGAACUAUUUGCAAUCAUAGUCACAUCCUAAGGUACUUGAGAUUAGGGUUUUUAUUUUUUUUAAGAUGUAUUUCUUCAUGUAUAUGGGCACUCUUCUCUGCAUGUACUCUGCACACCAGAAGAAGGCAUCUUCCAGCUGUGAACUACCAUGUGGAUGCUAGGAAUUGAACUCAGAACCUUCUGAAGAGCAGUGAGAGCUUUUAACCACUGAGCUAUCAUCUCCCCAGUCACAAGAUUAGGGUUUUUAACAUGUACAUUUUAGGGACAACACAAUUCACAAAGUAUAAUGCUUUCAUUAGUAAAGGCAAGUUAUCCAGUAAUAGUCUGUAAAAGGAAGGAUUGUGUUGUGGAAAAUUUCCUUUCAUAGAAUUUAAAGUGUUUAAUGGCUGCUUAGAUUCAGAAGGUGAAUUAUAGAAAGAGCAAAAACUGUCAUUCUAUUUACUGACUGAAUCAGAGGGUGUCACAGCAGUAUAAUUAAGUAAAAUCAAAACAUACAGAAUGGAAUGUAGAUAUGGAGAAAGGAAGAUAAUAGUUCCUUAAUUUUGUUACAGCUGUUUAUGGAGUACCUAGUUCUUUUUGAAAACCACACUGGGGUUUUCUGAAUAUCUAUAAAACAUUAAAAUGACUACAUAAAGAAAGGUCAAGAUGGCCAAUGAACAUUUAUACAUAUAAGCCUGAAGCUCAGGGGGUUCUAGAUACAGACUUAAAAGUUGAAAUUUAUUUGCUCUUAUGAGCAUUUACCUGGGCCAAGGCCAAGGCUCAGGGACACAGGGUUUGCCUACCUCAUGUAGAGAUCUGGGUUUAAGCCCAAACCAGCAAAUGAAAAGGUAACACCAAAAUAUUCCUUAGAACUAUGAAUUCAGGCACAUGUUUAUAAAGACUAAAGAAUAACUAAUAAAAGCUUAGGAGGGUGGUUCAGUUGGUAAAGUGCUUAGAGCCUACAAAUGAGUUCAGAUCCAAAGCUCUGCCUAAGAAGUCUGAAUUAUAGAAUGUGAGCUCUGGGGUUAAUGAGAGACCUUGUCCCAAAAAAAUAGGGUAAAGCAAUUGAGAAAAAUGAUACCUGCCAAUGACCUCUAGUCUCCAUAUGGAAGUACAUGCAUAGGUGCAUGUGCGUGCACGCACACACACAUACACCACAAAAGAAUGAUGAAGAGAUGGAAAACUAAGUCAUCCAGGGAAAGUCGGAGAAGAACAAAGGCCGACUUCAGUCGUGACUAUGUCCUGUUAGUAUUGCUUGUGAGGUUUUCAAAUGUGAGAUUUUCAAGUGAAUAUUAUAGAAUACUGGCUUUAAACCACAUCUCUAUCUAGGUCAUAAGAGCAAUGCUAACCUAUUAUUCUCAACUUUGUUCCUAGGCAAGGCCAUUACCUCGGUAUCUUUUCUAAUCUAUGGUCAACAGGAAGCAACUCAGCCUGUCAGUCUGUCCUCUUUCCCAGUCUUCUGCAUCUGGCAGCCUACUUGCAAGCACCAAUUUGCUAAGAUUAGACUGCAGAGGUGAACUGUAGCUGAUUGGCUCGAGUUGGCACCAACUUUAAACAUCUUGUACAGUAUCCACAGACUUUCUUCAUCUUUUGCUUGGCUGUCUAAAUUUCCCCUGUUUCCCAUUAGUCUCACUGAGCGGUCUCUAUACUGUAGUAAGAGCCUCUUUCCCAUUUAAAGCCUUUGACUACUCUCCUAGUUUGGUAGGGGAAAGGAG